GACGAACGCUGGCGGCGUGCUUAACACAUGCAAGUCGAACGGAAAGGCCCUGCUUUUGUGGGGUGCUCGAGUGGCGAACGGGUGAGUAACACGUGAGUAACCUGCCCUUGACUUUGGGAUAACUUCAGGAAACUGGGGCUAAUACCGGAUAGGAGCUCCUGCUGCAUGGUGGGGGUUGGAAAGUUUCGGCUGUUGGGGAUGGACUCGCGGCUUAUCAGCUGGUUGGUGGGGUAGUGGCUUACCAAGGCUUUGACGGGUAGCCGGCCUGAGAGGGUGACCGGCCACAUUGGGACUGAGAUACGGCCCAGACUCCUACGGGAGGCAGCAGUGGGGAAUAUUGCACAAUGGGCGGAAGCCUGAUGCAGCAACGCCGCGUGCGGGAUGACGGCCUUCGGGUUGUAAACCGCUUUCGCCUGUGACGAAGCGUGAGUGACGGUAAUGGGUAAAGAAGCACCGGCUAACUACGUG
rnacentral:rRNA from 1 species